UGGAGGGCAAGUCUGGUGCCAGCAGCCGCGGUAAUUCCAGCUCCAAUAGCGUAUAUUAAAGUUGUUGCAGUUAAAAAGCUCGUAGUUGAAUUUCGGGAUUUGUCAGUUGGUCGGGCUUCACUGUCCGUAUUGACUUGAUGGAUUCUUACCUUCUGAAUAACUAGCAUGCUAUUAAGUUAGUGUGUUGGGGAAGCAGAUCUAUUACCUUGAAAAAAUUAGAGUGCUUAAAGCGAGCUAGUGCUUGAAUAGAUUAGCAUGGAAUAAUAAAAUAGGACGGCAUGGUUCUAUUUUGUUGGUUUCUAGGAUCACCGUAAUGAUUAAUAGGGAUAGUUGGGGGCAUUAGUAUUCAAUUGUCAGAGGUGAAAUUCUUGGAUUUAUUGAAGACUAACUUCUGCGAAAGCAUUUGCCAAGGAUGUUUUCAUUAAUCAAGAACGAAAGUUAGGGGAUCGAAGACGAUCAGAUACCGUCGUAGUCUUAACCAUAAACUAUGCCGACUAGGAAUCGGACGAUGUUAAUUUUAUAAUGACUCGUUCGGCACCUUACGGGAAAC
rnacentral:rRNA from 1 species